GGAGAGGUGCCAGAGUGGCCGAUUGGGACGGUUUGCUAAACCGUUGUACUCUCAAAAGGAGUACCGAGGGUUCGAAUCCCUCCCUCUCCG
rnacentral:tRNA from 1 species